rnacentral:lncRNA from 1 species
AACAGCUACAGCAACAGAGAGAGACAGUGUUGCAAGGUGCUGACACGCAAUUUGGUUGAGUCCAAGCCUCUCCAGCAUUUGUCCGGUUCGAAUCGUGUGAUAUAUGGUACUGAGGUCAUUCACUCAGCUCACAUUAUAGCUGCUAGCGCAAUGGUAGCGCAGCGUUAGCGGCUAGCGUUAGCAGCUAGCGUUAGCAGCUAGCGCUAGUAAGUUGUGAGAGUCAGCUGUGUUUCUAAUUACUACCGAGCCUGUCGUGUGUAUGUUGUAGCCCGAGUAGACCCGUGAAUUUGGGUUAUUGCAAGUUCUAUCUAAGUCUAACGUGUGGUGUUGCUUAUCUAGUCAGCUACAUUAGCUGUAAACGUGACAUAUUUUUUUAUACAGGCUGACGCAUGCCAGCUACCGAAACGCGAGGAGGUUGCUUCUCGAACUGACACGUGGCUACCUUGUAGAAGAGUGCUCACCUCAGGAGCAAAUAGUGGUGUCAAGGAAAACAGCUGCAUCCUCCAUCUGUACAGCAGCUGCACUGCUUCCGAUGUCUUCCAACACGUGAAGACAAAAAAGAUCCUCACAUCUCCCCAGCCAACUGCCCAUGACUGUACCUGUUCCACUCCAGAAACUAUGCUUUCAACAUAACUGUGAAUCCUACCCGUUCAUUUUGUGGUCUGCAAAUUGAACUGUGACGGAAACACUGCCCUGAUCCAGACCAGGAAAGGUGGGAUGACUUAAACUCUUCGCCCUAGAAGUCCCCAGCACCAGCUAACAAGACUUCUGGACUAGAUACCUGCAACAACUUGAGAUACACACAGAAAUUGUACUGAAAAAAAACAAUAACUACAUUUCUAUUAGUUAUAUAUUAGCACUUGAUAUAUCAUACACCUUACUAAAAGCAAUUAAAAAUAUAUUAGGUCAAUAUAUAUUUAGAAACUAUGUUUGUAAACCAGAGUUCCCAGGUACAUUAUGAUUAAUCUGUAAAUAGUAAAAUGUUCUAAAGUUUUUUAUGAAUUUCUGAGAUACUGAUUUAUUCCAUGCGUAAUUGUCUGAUAUACUUUAUAUUAAAUGUGUUCUGUAAUUAAUACACAUUCAAUCAUACUGGCUCCAGUCCUGGAUCAUCAACCAUACGUGACAGUAGGUUUGGCAACUAGUUCAGGCGUCCUGAGGUAAGAUUUAUCGAAAUUUUAAUUUAUUAAUAAAAGUAAUAAACACAUGCA